rnacentral:tRNA from 1 species
AAGCAAAAAGUGAAACUCACUUACGGUUUCGACCCGUAAUUUGAUAGUAUUAUCCUGUCUUUGCUUU